ACGGGAGGCAGCAGUGGGGAAUAUUGGACAAUGGGGGAAACCCUGAUCCAGCGACGCCGCGUGAGUGAAGAAGUAUUUCGGUAUGUAAAGCUCUAUCAGCAAGAAAGAAAAUGACGGUACUUGACUAAGAAGCCCCGGCUAACUACGUGCCAGCAGCCGCGGUAAUACGUAGGGGGCAAGCGUUAUCCGGAUUUACUGGGUGUAAAGGGGGCGUAGACGGCGAUGCAAGUCUGAAGUGAAAGCCCGGGGCUCAACCCCGGAACUGCUUUGGAAACUGUAUAGCUAGAGUGCAGGAGAGGUAUGUGGAAUUCCUAGUGUAGCGGUGAAAUGCGUAGAUAUUAGGAGGAACACCAGUGGCGAAGGCGACAUACUGGACUGUAACUGACGUUGAGGCUCGAAGGCGUGGGGAGCAAACAGGAUUAGAUACCCUGGUA
rnacentral:rRNA from 1 species